rnacentral:rRNA from 1 species
UACGGAGGGGACUAGCGUUGUUCGGAAUUACUGGGCGUAAAGCGCACGUAGGCGGAUUUGUAAGUCAGGGGUGGAAUCCCGGGGCUCAACCUCGGAACUGCCUUUGAUACUGCAAAUCUCGAGUCCGGAAGAGGUGAGUGGAAUUCCUAGUGUAGAGGUGAAAUUCGUAGAUAUUAGGAAGAACACCAGUGGCGAAGGCGGCUCACUGGUCCGGUACUGACGCUGAGGUGCGAAAGCGUGGGGAGCAAACAGG